rnacentral:rRNA from 1 species
GAUGAACGCUAGCGAUAGGCUUAACACAUGCAAGUCGAGGGGCAGCAUGGUCUUAGCUUGCUAAGACUGAUGGCGACCGGCGCACGGGUGCGUAACGCGUAUGCAACUUGCCUCACAGAGGGGGAUAACCCGUCGAAAGACGGACUAAUACCGCGUACACUUGGGAUAGGGCAUCCUGACCCAAGGAAAUGAAAUUCGCUGUGAGAUAGGCAUGCGUCCCAUUAGCUAGUUGGUGAGGUAACGGCUCACCAAGGCGACGAUGGGUAGGGGAACUGAGAGGUUGAACCCCCACACUGGUACUGAGACACGGACCAGACUCCUACGGGGGGCAGCAGUGAGGAAUAUUGGUCAAUGGGCGAGAGCCUGAACCAGCCAAGUCGCGUGAAGGAUGACUGUCUUAUGGAUUGUAAACUUCUUUUAUACGGGAAUAACAAGAGCCACGUGUGGCUCCCUGCAUGUACCGUAUGAAUAAGCAUCGGCUAACUCCGUG